GAGUUUGAUCGUGGCUCAGGAUGAACGCUAGCGACAGGCUUAACACAUGCAAGUCGAGGGGCAGCGGGGUGUAGCAAUACACCGCCGGCGACCGGCGCACGGGUGAGUAACGCGUAUGCAACUUGCCUAUCAGAGGGGGAUAACGGCUGGAAACGGUCGCUAAUACCGCAUGACAUAUUCGAGUGGCAUCACUUGGAUAUCAAAGGAGCAAUCCGCUGAAAGAUGGGCUCGCGUCUGAUUAGAUAGUUGGUGGGGUAACGGCCUACCAAGUCGACGAUCAGUAGCCGGACUGAGAGGUUGAACGGCCACAUUGGGACUGAGAUACAGCCCAGACUCCUACGGGAGGCAGCAGUGGGGAAUAUUGCACAAUGGGGGAAACCCUGAUGCAGCGACGCCGCGUGAAGGAAGAAGUAUCUCGGUAUGUAAACUUCUAUCAGCAGGGAAG
rnacentral:rRNA from 1 species